ACUAACUGUCCUUUUAGCAACCAAGCUAACUCUCUUUAGAAGUGUACAUUAUCCUGGUUAGUUAGCGUGUUACAACCAAACGUACUCUCUAGAAUGUGUACAUGUUCCUGGUUAGCUAGCGUGUUACAACCAAGCUAACCCACUUGAACACUACGUACGUUCCCGUUAGCUUGCAUGUUAGCAGCCAAGCUAACUCUCUUGAGAACUGUGUACAUUCCUGGUUAGCUAGCGUUUUAGCAACCAAGAUAACUAUUUUUGGCAGUUAGCGAAGCUCCAUGCUACAGAUGUGUUUUAGGAUCAGGCAGACAAACUGAAGCCUGUUUCCUGGCGACGGCUUGAGGCAUCAAAUGUCUGGUCAUAGUUCUGGAUGAACUUUUUCAGGAAUAAAAUUAACUCUCCUGGUUUAGGUGUUGGAGACAAAAUAGUCCGACUAGUGUGCUCUAAUCCUUCUUCUUUUUAUUUAAAAAUAGCUCAUGUUGAAGUUCAUGUGUUUGAUCCGCCUGGUUUCCGAAAAAAAGACUUUAGAAACAUGAUAUUGUCCAUAACUUGAUAAUAAAAGUGAGACCCAACCUUUUCGGUAUAGCCUGAACCCUUAUUUGAUUUAAUGUGGAUUGGAACCUUUUUUUACAUCCUCAAACUCCACUUUGAUUGAUCUAAAGGCUUUCUUGUUGUUCAUUCUCUUUUUAACUCUAAAAUGUUAUAGCUAAAAUCAAGUUAAUGAAGACUUCCGAAGAUUUGAAUUCCUGAACAACGUCCUUGAGUUUUUCUCAACUGUAACGUGUGGUAGUCCUGAUCCAUCCUUAAUUGCCAAUUCAGGAGACUUAAUCCGGCCUCGCUUUGUAGCUGUCAAAUAAGAAGCCUGGAGAUGUUUAAAGCUUGAGUUCAUCAAACAUUACUGUAACAAAAUACUCUCAGUAUUGUAGAUAACUCUGUCAUUUAACCAAAAAGUGUUUGGGCUAAAACCCAACAUUUUUGAAAAUGCAAAUCCACAUGCUGUAGCAGUGUCAAUCAUGGAAAGGCAUUCUAAACAAUAAUAAGUAUUUUAGUAUCUUGUGGAUAGUUUUUGAUUUCUUUCUUUUUGGGAAACCAGCUGCAUUAAAUGUCUUUUUAAGGGGAGUUAAGGCCAGCCCUGCAUCAUAACUGAGGUUGUGCUUCUUCUACUACCGCUACUAUCAAACAACCAGCCUUGGGCACACAAACAGACCUGAACACUGUUUCAAAUCCUCCCUUCAGAACUCAAGGUGCAUUUGAUUUCUAUCUUCAUAUACCAGCAUUUUCAAAAGUCAGAACCUAAGGUAGAGCACCAGCUUGAUUCGUUUAUGUCACAAAAAAACUUCUGUAAAUCAACUUGUGGCCCAAAAUUAGACUUCUUUUCCUCAGUUUGGGCGACAAGUCUUGAGCUUCUUUGUUGUUUUGUAACUUGUAAUAACAAAUAUAGCCAUCAUUAUUUCUUUUUAUGUGAAUUUGAAAAGUAUUCAAGCUCUGUUUCUGUUGCCGAGGUCAGCAAAACAACCUGUUGAUGUCUGCUGUAUUUCAAUAAAACACAGCCUUGUUCAAAGGUUACACCUCUUUA